CCCCAAAUGAAAGUUCACAGCCUGGGGAAAUUAAAUUGUCACGCUACAGAUUCAUAUUUAUCUAAGUUUCUUAAAACAAUUUGAUUUUGUCUCACAAUCGACGAAAGAAUAGGGGAACGAGUUUU